GUGGGGAAUAUUGGACAAUGGGGGGAACCCUGAUCCAGCCAUGCCGCGUGUGUGAAGAAGGCCUUUUGGUUGUAAAGCACUUUAAGCGAGGAGGAGGCUACCGAGAUUAAUACUCUUGGAUAGUGGACGUUACUCGCAGAAUAAGCACCGGCUAACUCUGUGCCAGCAGCCGCGGUAAUACAGAGGGUGCAAGCGUUAAUCGGAUUUACUGGGCGUAAAGCGCGCGUAGGUGGCCAAUUAAGUCAAAUGCGAAAUCCCCGAGCUUAACUUGGGAAUUGCAUUCGAUACUGGUUGGCUAGAGUAUGGGAGAGGAUGGUAGAAUUCCAGGUGUAGCGGUGAAAUGCGUAGAGAUCUGGAGGAAUACCGAUGGCGAAGGCAGCCAUCUGGCCUAAUACUGACACUGAGGUGCGAAAGCAUGGGGAGCAAACAGGAUUAGAAACCCUGGUAGUCC
rnacentral:rRNA from 1 species